AAGGAGUCCACGGGAAAGAAUUGCAGGCGAGGUUGAGAAUAAAGUGUGCUCCAGGUGAGACAGCCACAUCGGUGAGGUGGAGAAGAGAAUUGACGAGACAAAUUUCAAAUGGUGGGCUGGCAAAGCAAGAAGGACUGCAAGUGGUUAUUUUUGGCCUUGUGCUCUAAUGUCUGAUGCAACAAUUCCCCUUAUGGACUCACCUAGAAAUGCAAUCACUUUCUUUGUCAGGGACAUGCACAUGUAGAAUAUUCAUCUAAAGGACAGCUGUUCAGGGUUUGCUCCCUACAGCAUGGGAGGUGGACAGAAAUGCAGAAUUUCUGACUACACGAAGAUCACCAG